GACUCGUGAACAAAAAAUGAUUGGUGUGGGAGCCGAAAACACACGGCAACAACAUCGUUCCCAAACGCAGGCACGGACGGGGUUCGAACCCGCGAUCUUCGGUUUACGAGACCGACGCCUUACCACUUGGCCACCGCGCCUGACAGCCGAGCUGCCGGUGGAAGCUCUCAGUGGAGGGGAGUGGUGCGGGCGGGGAGGUGGGCAGGCCCCGCCCUCUCGCCCAGGCUCCGCCUCUGCACAAAGCCCACCCACCAAACGGCUCUGACUGACGCGUCCGGUCCUCCUUCCGCUCGGCAUCAGGAUAGCGGGUAGUCCGGAUAGCUGGUGUUCGGGCUCUCUGACGAGCAACUAUCCUCUUCUCCCUCGCUCUGGGUCCGUGUCACUGAGCCGGGAGAGGCCGCAAAGAUGAGCGUGAACGUCUGCGUGCCCCCGGGGAACCAGCCGUGGACGGCGGGGACCGGGCACGGCGCGGAGGCCCGGACGUUUACAUCAUCAUUUAUUACUGGAGACCGAGGCUCGCGUAGCCCAGGCUGACUUCAGACUCUGUCGCUAAGGAUGCCGUGAACUAAGAGAUCUUCUUCUUCCAUCUGCCAAGGGUUGGGAUUUCAGGCGUGGGCCACGUUGCCCUUUUUACCGGAUGCUGGGGAUCGAACCCAUGAAUUCGUGCGUGCUAAAUUAACACAACUGAGACACAUCCCUAGAUCCUAGAUCUAUUAUUUAAAUUUUAAUUUAAAAAAGUGUUUAAAUUUUUAAUUAAAAAAAUUUUUAAGGAAAUUAGGUCCCUGAAUCCUAUGGCCAGCCACAGCAUCUGUUACGCGGAGAGGGUGGCCCUCCUCUUGGUGCAGAGCUGUGAUGCCAACAGGGCAGUUCAAGGUUCCACUUACCAGCCUUCUUAAGUGCACUCCUGUAAGUAGGACACCACAGCCCGGAAACACCCUCCAGAGGGCUCGUGGUAUUGCUGGCGCUGCUAUAACUAGUAAGUUCAUCCUUAUUUAUGGGUAUGACUGUUUUUAAAAAAGGUUUAUUUAUUAUGUAUACAAGCAUUUGGCCUGCAUGAAUGGCUGCAGACCAGAAGAGGACAUCAGAUCCCAUUACAGGUGGUUGUGAGCCACCAAGUGGUUGCUGGGAAUUGAACUCAGGACUUCUGGAAGAGCAGUUAGUGCUCUUAACCUCUAAGACAUCUUCUCCAGGCCCCCACGCCCCCACUCCCCCACUCCCCCACUCCCCCACUCCCCCACCCCCCUUUAAUAUAAAAUUGGGGAGGUUUGUAAAACCUAAAGAUAUCUUUAUGGAUAUAUGUUAAAAACACAAGAUUUGUGAUAACUGUGUUAAGUUUACAUACAGUGUUAAAAAUAUCCUAUAUAACACAACACUACAA